GGGCCCGCACAAGCGGUGGAGCAUGUGGUUUAAUUCGAUGCAACGCGAAGAACCUUACCAAGCCUUGACAUCCUCGGAACUUUCCAGAAAUGGAUUGGUGCCUUCGGGAACCGAGUGACAGGUGCUGCAUGGCUGUCGUCAGCUCGUGUCGUGAGAUGUUGGGUUAAGUCCCGCAACGAGCGCAACCCACGUCUUUAGUUGCCAGCAUUUAGUUGGGCACUCUAGAGAGACUGCCGGUGAUAAACCGGAGGAAGGUGUGGAUGACGUCAAGUCAUCAUGCCCCUUACAUCCUGGGCUACACACGUACUACAAUGCUACGGACAAAGGGCUGCAAGUUCGCGAGGACAAGCAAAUCCCAUAAACCGUGGCUCAGUUCAGAUCGUAGGCUGCAACUCGCCUACGUGAAGGCGGAAUC
rnacentral:rRNA from 1 species